rnacentral:rRNA from 1 species
GAUGAACGCUAGCGGGAGGCUUAACACAUGCAAGUCGAGCGGGAUUGGUAGCAAUACCAUGAGAGCGGCGCACGGGUUCGUAACGCGUAUGCAACCUGCCUUAUACAGGGGGAUAGCCCAUGGAAACGUGGAUUAAUAUCCCAUAGGAUUAUUGAAUCGCAUGAUUUAAUGAUUAAAACUACGGUGGUAUAAGAUGGGCAUGCGUGUGAUUAGGUAGUUGGUAGGGUAACGGCCUACCAAGCCGACGAUCAGUAGGGGUUCUGAGAGGAUUACCCCCCACACGGGUACUGUGCCACGCACCAGACUCCUCCGGGGGGCAGCAGUGAGGAAUAUUGGUCAAUGGGCGAGAGCCUGAACCAGCCAUCCCGCGUGCAGGAUGACGGCCCUAUGGGUUGUAAACUGCUUUUCUGCUCCAAGAAACCCACUUACGAGUAGGUGGUUGACGGUAGAGUAGGAAUAAGCAUCGGCUAACUCCGUGCCAGCCGCCGCAGUAAUAC